rnacentral:rRNA from 1 species
ACGCUCGACACCUACGGUAGGCAGCAGUGGGGAAUAUUGCACAAUGGGGGAAACCCUGAUGCAGCGACGCCGCGUGGAGGAAGAAGGUCUUCGGAUUGUAAACUCCUGUUGUUGGGGAAAAAGAGGAUGGUACCCAACAAGGAAGUGACGGCUAACUACGUGCCAUCACGCCGGCGGUAAUCUGAGGCGGGCGUGGACGAAGGC